CCUACGGGAGGCUGCAGUGGGGGAUAUUGCACACUGGGGGGAACCCUGAUGCAGCGACGCCGCGUGGGUGAAGAAGCGCCUCGGCGCGUAAAGCCCUGUCAGCAGGGAAGAAAAUGACGGUACCUGAAGAAGAAGCCCCGGCUAACUACGUGCCAGCAGCCGCGGUCAUACGUAGGGGGCAAGCGUUAUCCGGCUUUCCUGGGUGUAAGGGGGGCGCAGACGGCGAUGCAAGCCAGGAGUGAAAGCCCGGGGCCCAACCCCGGGACUGAUCUUGGAACUGCGUGGCUGGAGUGCAGGAGGGGCAGGCGGAAUUCCGGGUGGAGCGGUGAAAUGCGUAGAUAUUAGGAGGAACACCAGUGGCGAAGGCGGCCUGCUGGACGACAACUGACGGUGAGGCGCGAAAGCGUGGGGAGCAAACAGGAUUAGAUACCCCUGUAGUC
rnacentral:rRNA from 1 species